rnacentral:rRNA from 1 species
GAUGAACGCUGGCGGCGUGCCUAAUACAUGCAAGUCGAGCGAACAGAUGAGGAGCUUGCUCCUCUGACGUUAGCGGCGAACGGGUGAGUAACACGUGGAUAACCUACCUAUAAGACUGGGAUAACUUCGGGAAACCGGAGCUAAUACCGGAUAAUAUAUUUAACCGCAUGGUUCAAUAGUGAAAGACGGUUUUGCUUUCACUUAUAGAUGGAUCCGCUCCGCAUUAGCUAGUUGGUAAGGUAACGGCUUACCAAGGCAACGAUGCGUAGCCGACCUGAGAGGGUGAUCGGCCACACUGGAACUGAGACACGGUCCAGACUCCUACGGGGGGCAGCAGUAGGGAAUCUUCCGCAAUGGGCGAAAGCCUGACGGAGCAACGCCGCGUGGGUGAUGAAGGUCUUCGGAUCGUAAAACUCUGUUAUUAGGGAAGACCAAAUGUGUAAGUAACUAUGCACGUCUUGACGGUACCUAAUCAGAAAGCCACGGCUAACUACGUG